AACCUUUUGCAGUUCAUAAGCGUGAUGAUUGGGUGUUCACGCCUUUGUGUGACACGAGCCCCCCUCAAACCUCGUUACGACUCGGCACAUUACCCAUCCGACG